rnacentral:rRNA from 1 species
AGUGAACGCUGGCGGUAGGCCUAACACAUGCAAGUCGAACGGCAGCACAGUAAGAGCUUGCUCUUACGGGUGGCGAGUGGCGGACGGGUGAGGAAUACAUCGGAAUCUACUUUUUCGUGGGGGCUAACGUAGGGAAACUUACGCUAAUACCGCAUACGACCUACGGGUGAAAGCAGGGGAUCUUCGGACCUUGCGCGAUCGAAUGAGCCGAUGUCGGAUUAGCUAGUUGGCGGGGUAAAGGCCCACCAAGGCGACGAUCCGUAGCUGGUCUGAGAGGAUGAUCAGCCACACUGGAACUGAGACACGGUCCAGACUCCUACGGGAGGCAGCAGUGGGGAAUAUUGGACAAUGGGCGCAAGCCUGAUCCAGCCAUACCGCGUGGGUGAAGAAGGCCUUCGGGUUGUAAAGCCCUUUUGUUGGGAAAGAAAAGCAGCAGGUUAAUACCCCGCUGUUCUGACGGUACCCAAAGAAUAAGCACCGGCUAACUUCGUG